UACGGAGGGUGCAAGCGUUUAAUCGGAAUUACUGGGCGUAAAAGCGUGCGCAGGCGGUUUAUGUAAGACAGAUGUGAAAUGCCCGGGCUCAACCUGGGAACUGCAUUUGUGACUGCAUGGCUAGAGUUUGGCAGAGGGGGGUAGAAUUCCACGUGUAGCAGUGAAAUGCGUAGAUAUGUGGAGGAAUACCGAUGGCGAAGGCAGCCCCCUGGGUCAAGACUGACGCUCAUGCACGAAAGCGUGGGGAGCAAACAGG
rnacentral:rRNA from 1 species